rnacentral:rRNA from 1 species
CCUACGGGUGGCUGCAGUCGAGAAUCAUUCACAAUGGGGGAAACCCUGAUGGUGCGACGCCGCGUGGGGGAAUGAAGGUCUUCGGAUUGUAAACCCCUGUCAUGUGGGAGCAAAUUAAAAAGAUAGUACCACAAGAGGAAGCGACGGCUAACUCUGUGCCAGCAGCAGCGGUAAUACAGAGGUCUCAAGCGUUGAUCGGAAUCACUGGGCGUAAAGCGUGCGUAGGCUGUUUCGUAAGUCGUGUGUGAAAGGCGCGGGCUCAACCCGAGGACGGCACAUGAUACUGCGAGACUAGAGUAAGGGAGGGGUAACCGGAAUUCUCGGUGUAGGAGUGAAAUCCGUAGAUAUCGAGAGGAACACUCAUGGCGAAGGCGGGUUCCUGGACAUUAACUGACGCUGAGGCACGAAGGCCAGGGGAGCGAAAGGGAUUAGAUACCCCAGUAGUC